AUGAACGCUGGCGGCGUGCCUAAUACAUGCAAGUCGAGCGAACAGACGAGGAGCUUGCUCCUCUGACGUUAGCGGCGGACGGGGGAGUAACACGUGGAUAACCUACCUAUAAGACUGGGAUAACUUCGGGAAACCGGAGCUAAUACCGGAAAAUAUAUUGAACCGCAUGGUUCAAUAGUGAAAGACGGUUUUGCUGUCACUUAUAGAUGGAUCCGCGCCGCAUUAGCUAGUUGGUAAGGUAACGGCUUACCAAGGCAACGAUGCGUAGCCGACCUGAGAGGGUGAUCGGCCACACUGGAACUGAGACACGGUCCAGACUCCUACGGGAGGCAGCAGUAGGGAAUCUUCCGCAAUGGGCGAAAGCCUGACGGAGCAACGCCGCGUGAGUGAUGAAGGUCUUCGGAUCGUAAAACUCUGUUAUUAGGGAAGAACAAAUGUGUAAGUAACUAUGCACGUCUUGACGGUACCUAAUCAGAAAGCCACGGCUAACUACGUG
rnacentral:rRNA from 1 species